rnacentral:lncRNA from 1 species
UUGAAUUAAUAAUUUUGAAUCACACAGGUUUUGUCAAGAUUAUAUAUAUAUUUUUUUUGAUAAAUCAAUUAUGCAUCGUUUUACCAAAAUAGAUGUGCAUGUAUUUUUUUUUUUUUUUUGUUCGAGCCAGCCUUUGUGGGAGUUUCUGUAAGAUGCAUGAGCUGCGUCGAUCACUCGUUUAGUAUUUAAGAUGAGAUGCAAAGUUACUUCCUCCAGGCGGUCGCUCCAUCGCCGCGCGCCGCGUCCAUGUAACCUGCGCUCAGACAAACGCAGGGCGGCUGGCUGUCAGCACAGAUCAGUGGAGAGGCGUUUUGAUUCCCCUCGCUGUAUAUUGUCUGUAUAUUGUAUAUUGAUCACGCUGGGCGUUUUGAUCGCCUGAUGUAGAAAAGCAAAGCGCUUCGGAGUCAUCCCCGAGUCUGCUUCAACAGGAAACGACGCUAAACUGAAACCAGAGACGUCGAUGAAGCCAUGGAAAGAGCAUCGUCCACAGACAGGCGCAGAGCUUGGAUCAACAGCCCACAGUGGUCCACUUUUGAGGAACCUCAAGGGCUGCUUUCCUCCACCAUGAUUGAAGACAAUGUCUUUCCAGACAGCGAGAGAACAGAAAAAAUUGCGAGUUGGCUUCGUGACUGUAGGUCGGAGGCCGGAUCGGAGAACAGCGCUAGAGUCAGUUUUGGUAAGAACUAUUUUUAAAUUGGACACAAAAGUGAAUGCAAUGAUUUUUUUACAUCAUAU